rnacentral:tRNA from 1 species
ACAGAGUGCAAAUCUGGGACAGCACCCCAAAAAGGUGCCGGGGCUUCUCCCGUUU